CGAACGCUGGCGGCAGGCCUAAUACAUGCAAGUCGAACGGCUCUUCGGAGCAGUGGCGGACGGGUGAGUAACGCGUGGGAAUGUGCCCUUUGGUACGGAACAACACAGGGAAACUUGUGCUAAUACCGUAUGUGCCCUUCGGGGGAAAGAUUUAUCGCCAUUGGAGCAGCCCGCGUUGGAUUAGGUAGUUGGUGAGGUAAAGGCUCACCAAGCCGACGAUCCAUAGCUGGUCUGAGAGGAUGACCAGCCACACUGGGACUGAGACACGGCCCAGACUCCUACGGGAGGCAGCAGUAGGGAAUCUUGCGCAAUGGGCGAAAGCCUGACGCAGCCAUGCCGCGUGUAUGAUGAAGGUCUUAGGAUUGUAAAAUACUUUCACCGGGGAAGAUAAUGACGGUACCCGGAGAAGAAGCCCCGGCUAACUUCGUGCCAGCAGCCGCAGUAAGAC
rnacentral:rRNA from 1 species